rnacentral:rRNA from 1 species
UACGGAGGGUGCAAACGUUGCUCGGAAUCAUUGGGCGUAAAGCGAACGUAGGCGGCUUUGUAAGUCGGGUGUGAAAGCCCUCGGCUCAACCGAGGAAGUGCAUUCGAAACUGCAUGGCUUGAGUGUCGGAGAGGAUAGCGGAAUUCCCGGUGUAGAGGUGAAAUUCGUAGAUAUCGGGAGGAACACCAGUGGCGAAGGCGGCUAUCUGGACGAACACUGACGCUGAAGUUCGAAAGCGUGGGGAGCAAACAGG